rnacentral:tmRNA from 2 species
GGGGAUGAUUGUUUUGAUGAUUUGUUCUUUAAAGUAAGGCAAGUUGAGCUUCCUUAGGGCUCUUAAAUCUUUUAAGGAAAAACAUAAUUGCUAAUUUAUUUAAUAAGCAACCCGCGUUAGCUUUCGCUUAAUGCGGCAUCUUCACCAUUGACUCCUAAUAAAUGAAUGAAGGUGUUAUAUUAUUAGGAUAGAUAAUUUACCUCUCCGAUAAAUUAUCGAAAUUAAGGAGAUAAGGCAUUAAAAAUUUUGUUAAUUUUCUAUUUGAUGCUCGAACACAAAAAUUAACUAAACUUGUAGAAUUACUUUUAAAAACUUUUCAGACGGGAUUUCAAUAUCCCCAUCUCCACAC